AUUGAACGCUGGCGGCAGGCUUAACACAUGCAAGUCGAACGAGUGGCGGACGGGUGAGUAAUGCUUGGGAAUCUAGCUUAUGGAGGGGGAUAACUACGGGAAACUGUAGCUAAUACCGCGUACCAUAGGAUGAGCCCAAGUGGGAUUAGGUAGUUGGUGAGGUAAAGGCUCACCAAGCCGACGAGGUCUAGCUGGUCUGAGAGGCUGACCGGCCACACUGGGACUGAGACACGGACCAGACGCCUACGGGAGGCAGCAGUGGGGAAUAUUGCGAAAUGGGGGCAACCUGACGCAGCAAUGCCGCGUGAAUGAAGAAGGCCUUCGGGUUGUAAAGUUCUUUCGGUGACGAGGCGGUAAUAACAGAAGAAGCACCGGCUAACUCCGUGCCAGCAGCCGCGGUAAUAC
rnacentral:rRNA from 1 species